rnacentral:rRNA from 1 species
AUUGAACGCUGGCGGCAGGCUUAACACAUGCAAGUCGAACGAGCGGCGGACGGGUGAGUAAUGUCUGGGAAACUGGCUUAUGGAGGGGGAUAACUACUGGAAACGGUAGCUAAUACCGCAUACCAUCAGAUGUGCCCAAAUGGGAUUAGGUAGUUGGUGGGGUAAUGGCGCACCUAGGCGACGAUCCCUAGCUGGUCUGAGAGGAUGACCAGCCACACUGGAACUGAGACACGGCCCGGAUUCCUACGGGAGGCAGCAGUGGGGAAUAUUGCACAAUGGGGGCAAGCCUGACGCAGCCAUGCCGCGUGUGUGAAGAAGGCCUUCGGGUUGUAAAGCACUUUCAGCGAGGAGGCGUUACUCGCAGAAGAAGCACCGGCUAACUCCGUGCCAGCCGCCGCGGUAAUUC